GUCGAACGGUAACAGGAAACAGCUUGCUGUUUCGCUGACGAGUGGCGGACGGGUGAGUAAUGUCUGGGAAACUGCCUGAUGGAGGGGGAUAACUACUGGAAACGGUAGCUAAUACCGCAUAACGUCGCAAGACCAAAGAGGGGGACCUUCGGGCCUCUUGCCAUCGGAUGUGCCCAGAUGGGAUUAGCUAGUAGGUGGGGUAAAGGCUCACCUAGGCGACGAUCCCUAGCUGGUCUGAGAGGAUGACCAGCCACACUGGAACUGAGACACGGUCCAGACUCCUACGGGAGGCAGCAGUGGGGAAUAUUGCACAAUGGGCGCAAGCCUGAUGCAGCCAUGCCGCGUGUAUGAAGAAGGCCUUCGGGUUGUAAAGUACUUUCAGCGGGGAGGAAGGGAGUAAAGUUAAUACCUUUGCUCAUUGACGUUACCCGCAGAAGAAGCACCGGCUAACUCCGUGCCAGCAGCCGCGGUAAUACGGAGGGUGCAAGCGUUAAUCGGAAUUACUGGGCGUAAAGCGCACGCAGGCGGUUUGUUAAGUCAGAUGUGAAAUCCCCGGGCUCAACCUGGGAACUGCAUCUGAUACUGGCAAGCUUGAGUCUCGUAGAGGGGGGUAGAAUUCCAGGUGUAGCGGUGAAAUGCGUAGAGAUCUGGAGGAAUACCGGUGGCGAA
rnacentral:rRNA from 1 species